rnacentral:rRNA from 1 species
UACGGGGGGGGCAAGCGUUGUUCGGAAUUACUGGGCGUAAAGCGUGCGCAGGCGGUUCGUUGUGUCGGUGGUGAAAUCCCCGGGCUUAACCUGGGAAUGGCCAUGGAAACUGGCGAACUGGAGUGUGGCAGAGGGGGGUGGAAUUCCGCGUGUAGCAGUGAAAUGCGUAGAGAUGCGGAGGAACACCGAUGGCGAAGGCAGCCCCCUGGGCUAACACUGACGCUCAGGCACGAAAGCGUGGGGAGCAAACAGG